UACAGAGGAGCCAAGCGUUGUCCGGAUUGACUGGGCGUAAAGCGCACGCAGGCGGUUGCGCGCGUGGGGUGUGAAAUCUGGCCGCUUAACGGCCAGGCGCCAUCCCAUACGGCGCGACUGGAGUGAUGCAGAGGUCGAUGGAAUUGCCGGUGUAGUGGUGAAAUGCGUAGAGAUCGGCAGGAACACCCCAGGGGGGAAAACCAGUCGACUGGGCAUCUACUGACGCUGAGGUGCGAGAGCGUGGGGAGCGAACCGG
rnacentral:rRNA from 1 species